GCCUGGCUGGCUCAGUCGGCAAAGCAUCCGACUUUAGCUCAGGUCACGGUCUCGCGGUCCGUGGGUUCGAGCCCCGUGUCAGGCU
rnacentral:tRNA from 1 species